rnacentral:rRNA from 1 species
AUUGAACGCUGGCGGCAUGCCUAACACAUGCAAGUCGAACGGCAGCACAGCAGUAGCAAUACUGUGGGUGGCGAGUGGCGGACGGGUGAGGAAUACGUCGGAAUCUGCCCAGUCGUGGGGGAUAACUAGCCGAAAGGUUAGCUAAUACCGCAUACGACCGAGAGGUGAAAGCGGGGGACCGCAAGGGCCUCGCGCGAUUGGAUGAGCCGACGUCGGAUUAGCUAGUUGGCGGGGUAAAGGCCCACCAAGGCGACGAUCCGUAGCUGGUCUGAGAGGAUGAUCAGCCACACUGGAACUGAGACACGGUCCAGACUCCUACGGGAGGCAGCAGUGGGGAAUUUUGGACAAUGGGCGCAAGCCUGAUCCAGCAAUGCCGCGUGCAGGAAGAAGGCCUCGGGUUGUAACGUGCUUUGUUC